GGUGAACUUGUUUCCUUCUCUUUUGAUUUAGGUUGUUUUUGUUUCGGCUUCUUCUUCUUCUUCUUCUUUGCUUCCAUUUUCUCCUUGAACUCUAUGAUCUUCUCAGGACAAGCCCUAACAUAAAAAAAAGAAGGAUAAAUUGGCAAAACAUAUAUUAGAAGGUUCUUCAAUAUCUGCAGGAACAAUAGACGUCUCUAGUCCUUCUAGAUCAUUCCAUGAGACUUCAAAACAUUCUCGUCCCUGUACUUUGCGAGUCUUAAUGAUUUCAGACACCGGGCACUUCUCUGGCACCUGUAGCUGCAGAAGAAUAUUUUCGUUCCAGAGUUAAGACAUGUUCUUGUUUAAUUUCCAACUGAAUUAUGUAAGGUGAAGCCAAUCGACUUUUAAUGUCUGAGCCAAAAACUUCCUUUACCAAUCCAUAAACUUUUAUGUACCGUACGUAUCAA